rnacentral:rRNA from 1 species
GACGAACGCUGGCGGCGUGCUUAACACAUGCAAGUCGAACGGAAAGGCCCUGCUUUUGUGGGGUGCUCGAGUGGCGAACGGGUGAGUAACACGUGAGUAACCUGCCCUUGACUUUGGGAUAACUUCAGGAAACUGGGGCUAAUACCGGAUAGGAGCUCCUGCUGCAUGGUGGGGGUUGGAAAGUUUCGGCGGUUGGGGAUGGACUCGCGGCUUAUCAGCUUGUUGGUGGGGUAGUGGCUUACCAAGGCUUUGACGGGUAGCCGGCCUGAGAGGGUGACCGGCCACACUGGGACUGAGGGACGGCCCAGACUCCGAAGGGAGGCAGCAGUGGGGAAGACUGCACAAUGGGCGGAAGCCGGAUGAAGCAACGCCGCGUGCCGGAUGACGGCCUUCGGGUUGUAAACCGCUUUCGCCUGUGACGAAGCGUGAGUGACGGUAAUGGGUAAAGAAGCCCCGGCUAACUACGUG